AGCGAACGCUGGCGGCAGGCCUAACACAUGCAAGUCGAACGAAGUCUUCGGACUUAGUGGCGGACGGGUGAGUAACACGUGGGAACGUGCCUUUAGGUUCGGAAUAACUCAGGGAAACUUGUGCUAAUACCGAAGUUGCCCUUCGGGGGAAAGAUUUAUCGCCUUUAGAGCGGCCCGCGUCUGAUUAGCUAGUUGGUGAGGUAAAGGCUCACCAAGGCUACGAUCAGUAGCUGGUCUGAGAGGAGGACCAGCCACAUUGGGACUGAGACACGGCCCAAACCCCUACGGGAGGCAGCAGUGGGGAAUCUUGCGCAAUGGGCGAAAGCCUGACGCAGCUAUGCCGCGUGGAUGAUGAAGGUCUUAGGAUUGUAAAAUCCUUUCACCGGUGAAGAUAAUGACUGUAGCCGGAGAAGAAGCCCCGGCUAACUUCGUGCCAGCAGCCGCCGUAAUAC
rnacentral:rRNA from 1 species